GAAAACACCAUUUGCGAGUUACUAGCGUGAGGGGAGCCAAACAGCUGAAGAUCUAUGCAGACGAGCGACGCGAUCCUGCUGCGGUACCGAAGCGGUGACGAUAUGCAAUUUUGGAAAAACAAAGAUGUAAUGUUCUCUUGCCCUUUUCCCGUGAGACAGAAGAACUUAGUUUCUCUGUUAUGUCAAAACAAUCGCUGCGGCGCCACUACGAUUGACGCUGGCGAUUUUACAUACACGUACCAAUGUACAGAAAAAAUUUCAUCCUACACAACAUACACAGUUAAAAAAAAGAAAUAUAAAUAUUUCCCAUCCUUGUCGCGAUUCUUUACUGUUUUGUCAAUCGCGCGGUGUCGCUGGCGAUACCCGCAGCGUCAAGGUAGCGGUGUCGCUUUGGCUUUUGAACAACACACAAUCUCAUUUAUCGUGUUGUGGUGUUGCAACGGUGAAACGUGCUCUUCCUAAAUCUGCCGUAUUCUCAUUUUGUAUUUACCGGUGGGAUUUUACUAUCUACACAGUAAGAAGUUACUUGGUGAGUAUGAAUUUAUAUUAAUGAAUUAUUUUAUUUGCAUUUAGACAGAUCAGUAUUACUGCAUUAGGCCAUAAUUCCAUUAUAAAAGCACGAAACAAAAAAUUUCAUAAGAAGUAUAAUAUCUAAACAAGAAUUGUUUCAUUUCCUAAAAAAAGUGAACAUGAAAUAAUUCUUCAUAAAACCCACUCAAAAAUUCUUAUAUGGGAAAGAAUUUCAUGACAUCGUUUUUAUACUGGAUGUAUUUUUGAAUCGAAUUUGUUUUACUUAACAAAAUUUUAACUUUUAAUAUCUGUAAAAUAUUUAGUUUGGGAUGUUCUCCACUGAUUUCGAUGAUUUUUGGAUGUAUUGUUGGGAACAUAAGUCUAAGCAACUUCUUCCUAUAUAUAUAUUUUUUUUUAAAUAAUUUGAUGUUUAAUAUAAUAAUUUAAUGUAAUAUAAUAUAAAGGAAAAACAUCAU